GAGGCGCUGGUGGGAUACUACCCUAGCUGUGUUGGCUUUCUAACCCGCACCACUUAUCGUGGUGGGAGACAGUGUCAGGCGGGCAGUUUGACUGGGGCGGUCGCCUCCUAAAAGGUAACGGAGGCGCCCAAAGGUUCCCCCAGAAUGGUUGGAAAUCAUUCAUAGAGGGUAAAGGCAUAAGGGAGCUUGACUGCGAGACCUACAAGUCGAGCAGGGGCGAAAGACGGACUUAGUGAUCCGGUGGGUCCGCAUGGAAGGGGCA
rnacentral:rRNA from 1 species